rnacentral:rRNA from 1 species
AUUGAACGCUGGCGGCAGGCCUAACACAUGCAAGUCGAGCGGAUGAAGGGAGCUUGCUCCUGGAUUCAGCGGCGGACGGGUGAGUAAUGCCUAGGAAUCUGCCUGGUAGUGGGGGAUAACGUCCGGAAACGGGCGCUAAUACCGCAUCCGUCCUGAGGGGGAAAGUGGGGGAUCUUCGGACCUCCCGCUAUCAGAUGAGCCUAGGUCGGAUUAGCUAGUUGUUGGGGUAAAGGCCUACCAAGGCGACGAUCCGUAACUGGUCUGAGAGGAUGAUCAGUCACACUGGAACUGAGACACGGUCCAGACUCCUACGGGAGGCAGCAGUGGGGAAUAUUGGACAAAGGGCGAAAGCCUGAUCCAGCCAUGCCGCGUGUGUGAAGAAGGUCUUCGGAUUGUAAAGCACUUUAAGUUGGGAGGAAGGGCAGUAAGUUAAUACCUUGCUGUUUUGACGUUACCAACAGAAUAAGCACCGGCUAACUUCGUG